GCCUGGGUGGCUCAGUCGGUUAAGCAUCUGACUUCAGCUCAGGUCAUGAUCCCAUGGUUCACGGGUUUGAGCCCCAUGUCAGGCU
rnacentral:tRNA from 1 species